CACCUGAUGGCACAAGGUGUGCAUCUGCAGCAUAUAUAGGUUGGCCAUUAAACUUAUGCAGAAGGUCCCCGUUCGAUUCGGGGUCGGGUGA